rnacentral:tRNA from 1 species
AGUCUUAUAGUCAAAAAUGAUACCAAAUUGCAAGUUUGGUGGUGGGGUAGCCCUAAGGCUU